AAUUCGAUGCAACGCGAAGAACCUUACCUGGUCUUGACAUCCCGGAGACCCUUAGGAAACUAGGGGUGCUUCCAUCUGGAAGAAUCUGGAGACAGGUGCUGCAUGGCUGUCGUCAGCUCGUGUCGUGAGAUGUUGGGUUAAGUCCCGCAACGAGCGCAACCCUUGCCUUUAGUUGCCAGCAGUUCGGCUGGGCACUCUAAAGGGACUGCCGGUGUUAAACCGGAGGAAGGUGGGGAUGACGUCAAGUCCUCAUGGCCUUUAUGACCAGGGCUACACACGUACUACAAUGGCCGAUACAAAGGGCAGCGACACUGCGAGGUGAAGCCAACCCCGUAAAAUCGGUCUCAGUCCGGAUUGGAGUCUGCAACUCGACUCCAUGAAGUUGGAAUCGCUAGUAAUCGUGGAUCAGCAUGCCACGGUGAAUACGUUCCCGGGCCUU
rnacentral:rRNA from 1 species